UCCUUGACCAAAGGAAUGAAGAGGAGA
rnacentral:piRNA from 1 species